UUUGAUUUUCUCCGGAUAAUCUGUCUCAUGUCAAUUUGAUUCUAAGUCUAGCUAAAAAGAGCACAGGGCAGAGAAAGGUCUUCUCGACACUACUUCGUAACAAUACCCAGAAUUGGACGGUAUGCAGGUAAAUAAGGCAAAUUAUCACUCAUGCUCAGCUGAAAUGUAAUUUGGCAAUGUGUCCAAACCCUUUACCCUGCAAUUUUAUCAUGAGGAAAUCAUACUGGAAUCUCUACAUUUAUUAAGUUAUAAGACAAAACAUGAUGAAGCCUAAACUGAACUGAAAGCACAAGAUUUUAAUGCUGCAAUAUGGCCAAGACCAUCUGAAGAACUUAGAAAAAUAAUGAGGAACACCUCACAUGCUUGAAGAGGUUGAAUGUUACAUUUCAGAAGGCAUCAAGUUGCAAUGGGAAGGUAGCUUUUCUUUUUCUAGAGAAGAGAGUACAAAAUGACUGAAAUUCCUGCAAGGUGAUACACCGGUUCCUGCAAUUUUUCUAGGAGAUAAUAUGUUCCCAGGGAGCUGAGCAAUGCAGUGAAACUGAAAUCAUUAUGUCGUCUGAAUUCAUUACAGUUGGACUUGCCCCUCCAUGAAACAGCACUGCACAGCCAAUAGGAAUUCACGGCCCCUGCCCUUUAUCCCAUCAUCAUGGUUUAUAGUCCAUAACAAAUACAAAUACAGAAAAGAACCACAACAAUAUAAUACAUCUGACCUGCCAGCCUACUUUCCAGGGCUUUGCCUGACAAACUUUCAUUUUUACUGCACAGGGCAGAAGCAAAUGGAACACACUCUGUUGUUACCCCCUUGUAAGGCUGGACCUUGGGUUCUUAGUCCACAUCUCUGACCAUGUCAUCACCACCAACUGUCAUUGCAGCCAGUCUCAAUUGGGAAAUGCAGUCACUUAGUAAGAUCUUCCAGUAAUAAGUACUGGUGAGCGUUUAUGGAUAGCAAUUUAAAAGUGGCUUACCAGUGCAGUGAAACAUCUCAGUUGCUUUUAUAAAGCACUACUAUCUUCCAGUAUCAUUAGAGCUGACAGGUGAACUGGGCCUUAGAAAUAGUCUGGAUCAACCUAGGGAUACUAAAGGAAGACUCUAUCAAAGACAUUUUCAUUUCAGAUCCUUAGGAAUAGAAUGUCUUUUUCUCAAAUUGUUGUUAAGCCUUAGGAAUUUGAUAAUCAGUUUUAUUUUCCUUCACAUCAAUAAUUCCCAUUACAGUCAAAUUAUUUGUUUGCUGGAAAAGUGUUGGAACUCCCGCUUCUCUUUAGCGUCUUCUCAUAUUUGUGACCAUAUUCAAAGCGGGUAAAAUUUGCAAGUGAUAUGGAAUAUUUAUUUUAUAAUUUAUACUUAAUCAUCCUUUAACAAACAGCUCAAGGAACUAAAUGAAUAAUUUCUUAAACAAAGGAAAUUCCAAAUUGCCUUUAGAACAGAAGCACGUGGGAUGCUCUACAUAUCUUACCAGUACUUUUUUUUGUUUUGGGGCAUUUGACUUUUCUGUUUAUUUGUAAUAAGUUAAAAGGACACAAAAUAUAAUACUUUAUGCAUCAGAUUAAGUUCCCUAUAAGAUUUUAUUGAAGAUGUGUUAAAACUAUGGUAUUAGAAACAUGGAAUUGUCCUCUAAAUAUUUUCUCUUUGCCAAUAAAGUUGUUGUUCAAAACUGA